GAUGAAGAACGUAGUGAAAUGCGAUACUUGGUGUGAAUUGCAGAAUCCCGCGAAUCAUCGAGUUUUUGAAUGCAAGUUGCGCCCGAAGCCAUUCGGCCGAGGGCACGUCUGCCUGGGUGUCACGCAUCGUUGCCCCCCCAAACUCCGGUUCGGGCGGGGCGGAAGUUGGCCUCCCGUGCGUGCCUGCGCGCGCGGUUAGCCCAAAAGCGAGUCCUCGGCGACGAGCGCCACGACAAUCGGUGGUUUUUUUACCCUCGUUCCUCGUCGUGCGUGUCCCGUCGCCCGAACGCGCUCUUGUGACCCUCACGCGUCGCCUCGGCGGCGCUCCCAACGCGACCCCAGGUCAGGCGGGACUACCCGCUGAGUUUAAGCAUAUCAAUAAGCGGAGGA
rnacentral:misc_RNA from 1 species